UCUUCCUGUAUCUCUGGGGCCAAGAGUGUC
rnacentral:piRNA from 1 species